GGGUCAGUAGGUUGGUCGUGCCACCGGUACGUACUGGUCUCACUGAUUCCUCCUUCCUGAAGAACCGUAAUGCCAUUAAUUUGGUGUUGCGGGGAAACAGGACUGUUACUUUGAAAAAAUUAGGGUGUAUAAAGCAAGCUAACGCUUGAAUACAUUAGCAUGGAAUAAUGAAAUAGGACGAUAGAUCCUAUUUUGUUGGUUUCUAGGAUUGACGUA
rnacentral:rRNA from 1 species